GUGAUGGUGCCCCCUGGAGGACAGAAGGGACAACGACCCGGCCGUUAGUUCUUGUACUCAACAACCAUUUAUUUUAGAGUAGGGUUUCUCAACCUCAGUGGACAUUUUGGGAAGAACAAUUAUUUGUUGUGUGGGGUUGCCCUGUGCACUGGAGGAAAUUUGGAAUCAUCCCUGGCCUCGAUCCACUAGAUGCAAGUGUCACCUCCCAGUUGGGAAAAUCAAAAUGGCUCCAGACAUUGUCAAAUGUCCUCUGGGGGUGGAGUGGGAGUUUGGGUGACAAAAUUGCCUCCUUCUGUUAGAACUACUGAUUUAGGGCCAUGUAAGUAUCAGGCUAACUGUCCUAGCUAGGUGAUAGGAGCACAGUGGGAAAUGAGACAGACGGGAUCCUGGCUCCUCCUGGAGCUUACAGUCCUGCAGGGAGACAGGCAUGAACAUAGAAACAAAAGCAGAAAAUAAUGACAAAUUGGGUUAAGCGCCAUGAAGGAAACAAAGUCAGGGCUGGGGUGCAGGUGACAGGGCAGUGGUGAAGGUGGCUGCUUUAGCUAUGAGGGUCAGAGAAGGCCUCUUUGAAGAGCGACUUUUAGGCGGGGAUGAGGAGCCAGUUGUGUGGAGGCGGGGAGGAAAGUUCUGGUUGAGGGAACCAGCACAUGCAGAGGACCUGAGACAGGAAGGAGCUGGCAUGAAUGACUGCUGUGUCACGGAUGCUUAAACUGUGCCCAGUGGAGGCAGCAGCUGCCACUCACUGUGUCCCCACAGUGCCUGGGACUUUGUGUGAAUGGGGAGGUGUUGGAGCCCACGUGCUGGCAGGAGCAGGGAGGGGCUGGGGCCAAGUGUGAGUGUGGGCACAGGACCUCUCUGGGGACUCAGUUCUGCUGCCACCAUCCUGAUGAGUAGAGAGCUUAGUCUAAGUGGGUCCCAGGGAGGGCCUGGUGGGCUUGAUUGGGCUCUGGGGUGAAUGAUCAUGGAGGCAUGGGCAUUGGGCUAGGCCUGCCUGUGGCCUGACAUCUGACUCCUCCCCCAGCGCUGGCAAGACCUCAAUGUGAUCAACAGCCUGCUCAAGUCCUUCUUCCAAAAGCUGCCCGAGCCUCUUUUCACUGAUGGUGAGUAGGAGGUGGAAGUGGGGGUGGGGAGGGGACACCAGUCUGUGCCGCACCCCUGACCACUACUUUUGCAUUUGGUUUUACUAUUUUUUUUUUUUUUUUUUUUUUUUUUUUGGAGACAGUCUUGCUCUGUCGCCCAGGCUGGAGUGCAGUGGCGCAAUCACGGCUCAUUGCAGCCUCAAGCUACUGGGCUCAAGCGAUCCUCCCACCUCAGCCUCCUGAGUAGCUGAGACAGCAGGUGAACACCACCACACCCAGCUAAUUUAAAAGUUUUUUUCAGAGAUGGGGGGAGUUUCUCACUAUGUUGCUCAGACUGGUGUUGCACUCUUGGGCUCAAGCAAUCCUCCUGCCUGCCCCAGCCCCACAAAAUGCUAGGAUUACAGGCAUGAGCCACCAUGCUGGCUUUUUUUUUUUUUUUAACACAAAAGCUUAUUAAAAAAAACAUAGAUUGUGCAGAUGUGAAUAAAAACAGCACAGGACCCUGUGAAUCUCCUCCUCCCUUUCACGGGAGGUUGUGGCUAACACUUUCUGAGCAUUAGUGUGUGCCAAGCACAACUCCCUACAGCAACUCCAUGAGGAAGGUGCUAUUGUCUUCCCUCUACAGAUGAGGAAACCAAGGCUCAGAGAGGUUUAAUGCCUUGCCCAAGGUCACACAGGUUGUAAAUGGCAGAGCCAGGAUUCCACCCCAG
rnacentral:lncRNA from 1 species